rnacentral:misc_RNA from 1 species
GUAAUUAGCUCUUGGUUGACAAUCCAAUCGUUUCUUCAAAUCAAAGCUCACUCUCUAAUCUUCAACUUCAUCCAUCUCAAUUUCUUCAAUAAAAUCCAAAAAAUUCUCAAUCUACUGAGUCUGCCCCUCAAUUAAUUCCAUGGCAGGCUCAGUUUCCUUCUUCGUUUUUCUAUCUUUACUCCUUUUUUCAAGUAUCUGUGUUGAAUCCGAUGGAGAAGGGUACAUAUCAUUGGAUAUAUCAAAUAAAGGUCUUGAUUUUAUGAAGG